CUGAAGUCUUUCUCCCAUGUCACUUUAAUAUAAGCCAUCACAAUGAAACCGAGUGGGUGUAUUGGAGCUACUACUCUUCCAAUCUUGUAACGAUCAUGAUUAAUGGCAGAAUCUUCUUUGACAGUCCUAGUCAAGGACGAGUGAGCUCUUUCCCUAAUCUGGCCAGAGGAGGAAACUUCUCCAUCCUCAUCCAUGAGCUGCAGUCUUCAGACACUGGGACCUACUUAUGUGAGCUCAACAGUGAAUGCUGGAGGGUGAAGAUCAGUGAAUUGCCAGAAAGUAAGAUCAGUCCUUUUUCAGAAACGAAAGAACUGAACUCCUGGUUAUUCUUUUUUGCUGGAGUUGGAGUGUUUAUUCUUCUUUUUAUUAUAUUCAGUCUCACUGGCUUACAAAACCGUUUGCAGUCCUUGACAGGAAAAUGCAUGAGAUCAUCCAAAUCAAGCUCUACUAAUGAAGAACACCAUGAAGAACAUGGUUCUUCAAGUCAAACUUCUUAUAUCCAGCGUGCAUUCAAAACUCCGGAUCUAAAUGAAUCUACGACGUCUACGGUAAACUAUGUCUUUCAGGCAUAAUAGUUCAGUUGAGAAGGAGCUGGCAAGAGGGGAAAAUAUUCAGAUGAUAAAUCUGUUAUUUCAGUAAAGGCUUGUCUUAUACGUUUUUUCUUUACUCAAUCAUAUGCCAUCUGUUUUGAAAUGUCUUUUUUUCUAUAAUCAUUUAUUGAUUUUUCGUGUUUAACAUAGGUUUGUUCUCAAAUAACUGAAUACUUUUGUAAACCAAUUGUUAAUUUAAGUUAAUUUAAUUUAAGUCAAAUUUUCAUUGUACAUUAAUUGUCAUUAACUUUUCCUUUGAAAUUAUUUGUUAUUAUUUUGUAAAGUGUUGUGCACAAAUAAUUUGAAUAUAAAUAAAC
ensembl:lncRNA